UCUCUUUGACCAGCUUCUCUCUUCUCAUUUCUUUCUUUUUCUUCUUUUUCAUUUCCUGUCUAACACUUCUCUUCACUCCCUCAAACUCUCCCGGUAGUACCUCCAUACCACCAUUUCCACCAUCAUUUUCUAGUAAGAUCACCGGAAAAUUAUUGAGAACCCAUAAGCACCUUCACAUCCUUUUUUUGAGGUUUGCUUGAUAUUAUUGAGGUUCUAGCUAAUCUCCUUUGGAGUUUGGAGAAUUAGGCUUUUUGCGGGUUGCAAGUUUUUCAGAUUUACUAGCUAUACAUUGGGUAUGGAGCUUACUUCUUUGGUGAUGAUUAGAGUGCUAUGUUAAAUUUGGAGACUUUUGCUGUAAAUGGUUGGUGACUCGAUCUUGCGAUGUUCAACGAGACCUUGAUUAAUUCUAUUGGAGGUGGGCCGCUUGAGGUUUGUUAGCCUUUGGCGUGGUAGGCCUAGACUCGAUGUUAAGGUCCUUAAUCUUGAUAAGAUUGUGACUUUGUGUAAUUUAAUGAGUUUUGUAAUAUAUUCAUGUAUUAUGUGGAGGUACAUGAUUUUUAGUUAUUUUUUGUAAAUGUGUUAUAGAACUCUGACUUGUAAUGUGGAGAUUUUAGUAUAGUUAUAUAUUCUUAUCCUGUGAAAAAGAACGGAAAAUAAAGAUCUCCUAUAGUUUGAUUUGCCAAAAAGGAAAAAUCUACAGAUACCCUUGGGAUGUUUUUCUCAUGUUUUAGACCCUUUUGGGUUUGGGGUGUGACAAAUGGAGUUUGGAAACAUGAAGUACAGGAUGUGGCAAGUAAUGUGAGGGAGUGGUUCAUCUCCCUAUUUACUACCAGCAUGGAGGUUGGGCAUAGAAGAUAGUGGGAUAUUGCUAAUUGGCCAGUAAAAAUAUUUAAUGGGAAGCUAUCCAGAUCUCCUCCUCGACUACUAGCAAAGAAGUUCAAGAUGCCAUAUGGUCUCUUAAGCCUUUUAAAGCUCCUGAGCCAAAUGGUUUGCAUGCGGGUUUCUUUCAAUGCUUUUGGCUGCUAACUGGGGAGUUGAUUAUUAAAUUAGUAAAGGAUGUUUUU